rnacentral:rRNA from 1 species
UACGUAGGGGGGCAAGCGUUGUCCGGAUUUAUUGGGCGUAAAGAGCGUGUAGGCGGCUCACGUAGGUCCGUUGUGAAAACUCGAGGCUCAACCUCGAGACGCCGAUGGAAACCGUCGAGCUAGAGUCCGGAAGAGGAGAGUGGAAUUCCUGGUGUAGCGGUGAAAUGCGCAGAUAUCAGGAAGAACACCCGUGGCUAAGGCGGCUCUCUAGUACGGUACUGACGCUGAGACGCGAAAGCGUGGGGAGCGAACAGG